UGAGUAACACGUGGGAAACCUGCCCAGAAGCGGGGGAUAACACCUGGAAACAGAUGCUAAUACCGCAUAACAACUUGGACCGAAUGGUCCGAGUUUGAAAGAUGGCUUCGGCUAUCACUUUUGGAUGGUCCCGCGGCGUAUUAGCUAGAUGGUGGGGUAACGGCUCACCAUGGCAAUGAUACGUAGCCGACCUGAGAGGGUAAUCGGCCACAUUGGGACUGAGACACGGCCCAA
rnacentral:rRNA from 1 species